GCACCAUAUACCUAGAUUUUGUAUGUUUGACCUCCUCCAGGAAAUAGCAGCUGCCCUGCCUUGGAAGACAACAGGCUAUUAAGAACAGCAAGACACAGAUGGCAAGAGAGCUCCAGCAGUUUGCAAUACCCAGCAUCAUCUCCAUGCAGCUUUCCUCAGAGCUUUCAUGAUUCUAGAAGGAUCUCUUUGGCUUUUCAUACUCCUUUGCAGCCUGCCAGUGGGACUGGUUUCUACUUCAGCAGCUUCAUCUGAACUCAGGCUACGCCUGCUGGUUCCAACAUCACAAACCCAGAACAAUGGCAGCAGAGCCCAUGAAAAGAGAUGCAGUCAUGAACAAGUUAAUAGGCAUGGACAAAGCAUCUGCAAGCAACCUUAUACUCCAAGCUUCAGUGGUUUGCUUUCUGUUUGCACUAGUACUUGUAUUUUUACUAUGUGGCAAAAAUAUCUAGAGGCAUUGGUUGGAGGGGUUUUAAUCUAUGAUUUGUUUAACUUCAAAACAAUAAAUAAAAAAUAAAAAUCAAUUAGA